rnacentral:rRNA from 1 species
GUUAGGAAUAUUGGACAAUGGGCGCAAGCCUGAUCCAGCCAUGCCGCGUGAGUGAUGAAGGCCUUCGGGUUGUAAAGCUCUUUAGCCGAUGAUUAUAAUGACUGUAGUCGGAAAAUAAGCCCCGGCUAACUUCGUGCCAGCAGCCGCGGUAAUACGAAGGGGGCGAGCGUUAUUCGGAAUCACUGGGCGUAAAGCGUGCGUAGGCGGCUUUGCAAGUUGGGAGUGAAAGCCCAGGGCUCAACCCUGGAAUUGCUCUCAAAACUGCAAGGCUCGAAGUAGGGAGAGGAUAGCGGAAUUGUCAGUGUAGCAGUGAAAUGCGUAGAUAUUGACAGGAACACCAGUGGCGUAAGCGGCUAUCUGGACCGAUAUUGACGCUGAGGCACGAAAGCGUGGGGAUCAAACAGGAUUAGAUACCCGGGUAGUCC